rnacentral:rRNA from 1 species
UACGUAGGGUGCGAGCGUUAAUCGGAAUUACUGGGCGUAAAGCGUGCGCAGGCGGCGCGUUAAGACAGGUGUGAAAGCCCCGAGCUUAACUUGGGAAUUGCGCUUGUGACUGGCGAGCUGGAGUGUGGCAGAGGGAGGUGGAAUUCCACGUGUAGCAGUGAAAUGCGUAGAGAUGUGGAGGAAUACCGAUGGCGAAGGCAGCCCCCUGGGAUGACACUGACGCUCAUGCACGAAAGCGUGGGGAGCAAACAGG